CAGCAGUGGGGAAUAUUGCACAAUGGGGGAAACCCUGAUGCAGCGACGCCGCGUGGAGGAAGAAGGUCUUCGGAUUGUAAACUCCUGUUGUUGAGGAAGAUAAUGACGGUACUCAACAAGGAAGUGACGGCUAACUACGUGCCAGCAGCCGCGGUAAAACGUAGGUCACAAGCGUUGUCCGGAAUUACUGGGUGUAAAGGGAGCGCAGGCGGGAAGACAAGUUGGAAGUGAAAUCCAUGGGCUCAACCCAUGAACUGCUUUCAAAACUGUUUUUCUUGAGUAGUGCAGAGGUAGGCGGAAUUCCCGGUGUAGCGGUGGAAUGCGUAGAUAUCGGGAGGAACACCAGUGGCGAAGGCGGCCUACUGGGCACCAACUGACGCUGAGGCUCGAAAGUGUGGGUAGCAAACAGGAUUAGAUACCCUGGUAGUCCACACCGUAAACGAUGAUUACUAGGUGUUGGAGGAUUGACCCCUUCAGUGCCGCAGUUAACACAAUAAGUAAUCCACCUGGGGAGUACGACCGCAAGGUUGAAACUCAAAGGAAUUGACGGGGGCCCGCACAAGCAGUGGAGUAUGUGGUUUAAUUCGACGCAACGCGAAGAACCUUACCAAGUCUUGACAUCCCUUGACGAUGCUGGAAACAGUAUUUCUCUUCGGAGCAAGGAGACAGGUGGUGCAUGGUUGUCGUCAGCUCGUGUCGUGAGAUGUUGGGUUAAGUCCCGCAACGAGCGCAACCCUUAUGGUCAGUUACUACGCAAGAGGACUCUGGCCAGACUGCCGUUGACAAAACGGAGGAAGGUGGGGAUGACGUCAAAUCAUCAUGCCCUUUAUGACUUGGGCUACACACGUACUACAAUGGCGUUAAACAAAGAGAAGCAAGACCGCGAGGUGGAGCAAAACUCAGAAACAACGUCCCAGUUCGGACUGCAGGCUGCAACUCGCCUGCACGAAGUCGGAAUUGCUAGUAAUCGUGGAUCAGCAUGCCACGGUGAAUACGUUCCCGGGCCUUGUACACACCGCCCGUCACACCAUGAGAGCCG
rnacentral:rRNA from 1 species